GGCGACCGGCGCGACGGGUAGAGUAACGCGUAUGCAACCUACCUAUCAGAGGGGAAUAACCCGGCGAAAGUCGGACUAAUACCGCAUAAAACAGGGGCACCGCAUGGUGAUAUUUGUUAAAGAGAUUCGCUGAUAGAUGGGCAUGCGUUCCAUUAGGUAGUUGGUGAGGUAACGGCUCACCAAGCCGACGAUGGAUAGGGGAACUGAGAGGUUGGUCCCCCACACUGGUACUGAGACGCGGACCAGACUCCUACGGGAGGCAGCAGUGAGGAAUAUUGGUCAAUGGGGCGGGAGCCUGAACCAGCCAAGUCGCGUGAAGGAAGAAGGAUCUAUGGUUCGUAAACUUCUUUUGCAGGGGAAUAAAGUGCAGGACGUGUCCUGUUUUGUAUGUACCCUGAGAAUAAGGAUCGGCUAACUCCGUGCCAGCCGCAGC
rnacentral:rRNA from 1 species